GUGCACCAGUCGCGAAACCUUCGCAAUGCGGGAAACCGCGACGAGGGGACUCCCAGUGCCUACGCUCAGCGUAGGCUGUUCCCGAGCCUAGAAAGCUCGGGGAGUAAGGGCUGGGUAAGACGGGUGCCAGCCGCCGCGGUAAUACCCGCAGCCCGAGUGGUGGCCACUAUUAUUGGGCCUAAAGCGUCCGUAGCCGGCCCGGUAAAUGCCUGGGUAAAUCGUGAGGCCUAACCUCACGAAUUCCGGGUAGACUGCCGGGCUAGGGACCGGAGGAGGGAGAGGGUACUCCAGGGGUAGGGGUGAAAUCCUGUAAUCCCUGGAGGACCACCGGUGGCGAAGGCGCUCUCCUAGGACGGGUCCGACGGUGAGGGACGAAAGCCAGGGGAGCGAACCGGAUUAGAUACCCCCGUAGU
rnacentral:rRNA from 1 species